UCCUCUUCUCUUUUUUUUUUCCUUCUUUUCUUUUUUUUCUACUCUUCUUCUCCAGAACCUUCUUCCGGCUCCACUAUUCCUUCCCCCCUUUCCUUUUUCUUUCUUUUUAUUUCUCCUCCUCUUCUCUUCUCCCGACUUCUUCUCCUCCUCUUCUCUUUUUUUUCUUCUUCUAUCUUCUCCCGCGAAGGGAGGUCGGCGAGCUCGGAAGAGGCCAAGUCGAGGCCGGCGGUGCCCGCGGCGGCCGGCCCUCUCAUUCUUCCCGCGGAGGAGGCAUGCUCAUGGGAGAAGAAGAAGAGCCCGCGGCGGUUAGCCUUCUUCUUCGUCCCUCUCUUCUUCUUUUUUUUUUGGCUCUCUCUUUCUCUCUGCCGGCAGCUCGAGGAGGAAGAACGAGACUCGGGCGUGGCGGCUCUACAUCGGGUGGUCUCAAAGGGGAGGAGGAGGAGGCCCUAAAACUGGGAUCCCGACUUCUUCGGGAGGGAACCCCCAUCUUCUCACUGUGUGCCCUCACAUGCGACGCACGUGAGGCCAAAACUGGUGGUUGGGCCGGUCAAGUGGACCAGGCCCAGUUCGAUUCAAAGCUUGGGUUUCACAAAAUCCCUCCUUGGCUCCAUUUUAUUUAAGGGACUUCGCAACCCCUCUUUAAGCCUAUUGUUGACCAUCGCAGAUUAAAUCGGCAAUCUGAAGACAAAUCUUUUUGGAUGUGUCAUCAAUCUGCUCGCCAAAUCUACCUUCACUUCACCCGACCUCACCUCCUUCCCUUCCCUUUUCAAGCAUUGGCUGUCAGUCGUUUUGUUACUAGUGUACUACUGAUAGCCUUCCUUGUUUAGCCGUAGAAAAGAAAAACAAAAACUUCUCUCUCUAGCCUUUUUUUUCUUUUUUUUUCUUUUUCUUUUUUUUGGGUGAAAACGGCUACUCAUAUCAUAUAACUCUCUAGCCUCUUUCUCUCUCUCCACUUUCUAUUUAAUGUUGGAUGGACUCUAUGAGAGUCUCUCUCCUAUGACUUUGAUCGAUUCUAGUAAGCAGUUUUGAGCCAUCCUCGUGGCCACUUGGUGUGUUGGUGCCUGCUUGGCCUUCAUCGAGCACCAUUAAAUUUUAUUGUCUUUGAUUUCUAUUGAGUCAUCUAUAUUCUAGCCUAACCUUUAAUCAGAUAAACUUACUUUGAUUGGAUCGACUCGUAUCAUUGGUCACUAC
rnacentral:lncRNA from 1 species